CCGUUCCCAUGCCGAACACGGAAGUUAAGCUCUUCAGCGCCGAUGGUAGUUGGGGGCUUCCCCCUGUGAGAGUAGGACGCCGCCAAGC
rnacentral:rRNA from 1 species